CCUAAUAGGAUUGGGCUUACGA
rnacentral:siRNA from 1 species